AAAAUUACAAAGUCAAAGUGAAUUUACGAAGCCUUUGAGGGCACAAUUUACAGAUAAUCUGUAAACAUAUAAUGCCAAUAUGUUUCCGAUAGCGCCAGGUGGACAGACCCCCUUCUCACCUUUCCCUGCUAUGCAGGAAGGUCAGUCGUCCAUUCCAUUCUCAACAUUUCCAACAGAAGGUCAAUCUUCAGGCCUGCCGUUCACAUCUUUCCCAACAGAUGGCCAGACUUCGAUUCCGUUUUCGGUAUUCCCACCCGUUCAGCCACCGGAGGGAGGAUUUGCCUGUAAGUUAUGAACAAUGGCACAGAUAUACCAAUCUCUACCUUAGAUUUUGGGGCUUUCCAAAAUUACCACUUGUUCAGCCUGAAAUAUCACAGAUUAAAGAAAGUGGUUGAUAAAUCAAAAUUGUUGCAUAUAGAUGAGACUCAUAAAGAAGAAAAAUAUAAACCCAGAGCUUUGUGUUAUUAUUUCUCUAGCUCUGGCUUUGAAAUUGUCUACCUGUAUAAAUCCAGUAAAUUGUAUACAAGAAGUAUUAGCUUUGUUUUGAUUGACAGUCCCCAUGAUAACCGAUGUUUUGUUUUGAUUGAUAGUCCCCCCUCCUCAGCCCCCACCUGGCCCGCCUUCAGGACCACCCAAGCCACCAGGACCUCCCGGUCCUCCCAAACCAUCGGACUUUAUAUGUCCGCCCCGUCCCAACUACGGGACGGAGGGCAAACCAAUCCUACUGCGUGCCAAUCAUUUCCAAGUGCGUAUUCCCAAGGGAGUUCUUCACCACUACGAUAUUUCAAUAGUGCCUGACAAAUGUCCACGAAGAGUCAACAGGGAGAUUAUUGAGACAAUGGUAACUGCUUAUAGCCAGAAAAUCUUCUCAGGGCAGAAACCGGUGUUUGAUGGACGCAAAAACCUCUACAGUCGCGAGCCUCUUCCCAUUGGUCGAGAAAAGGUCAGUUGAAAGGUCUUGAAAUAAUAUAGAAAAUGCUUUUUAAGUGUAUACUUACGGGGGAAGGGAAUAUGACAAUUGAUUAGUAGAAUUUAUGUGAAUUUACUUUUGGUGAUAAUGGAAUCAUAUUGAUUAAAUACCAAAUUUGAAAAUUUGAUACAGUGUGAUUUGUAAAGUACUUUUUAAGUCAUUGUGUAUACUUGUACAUGGUCAUUAAUCACAUCUAUAGUUAAGUUGUACGUUAAUGAGGCUAACUGACUAUAUCGUUACAUCAAAGUGUUUUGGGAUAUGUAUAUUAAUAGUUGAUACAUUUGAUAUAAUGGCAUUAACUACUGUACAACCAUGGCUUGUUAAGUUUUUCAGUGAUUUUUUCAUUGCUAAUUAAAUUCCAAAUUUUGGCCUUUUGCCCCUGAAAUAAUGUCACUUAACUUUUUCGCAAUUGUCUAAUAAUCCCCCCCCCCCCCCCCC
rnacentral:misc_RNA from 1 species